UGGUACAGAUGUAGACACUAUGGAAGUGAGGUGAUUUUGAUUUAUCUCCUUCAAAGAGACCCCUCCCAAGAGGACUAUCUAGAUGUGCAAAGGUACCCAAGGAGCAGGGGAGGGAGGAAAGUAAGGAGUUAUAAGCAUCAAGAAAAUUAAGUCUGGAGUACUCAAGCUGUGUAAAAUUUCCUAAUAAUCCACAAAAGGAUCCUACAAGAGAAAAAAGAUGUUACUUGAUGCACAGAGAGAGAACUGGCCAUCAAACUCUCCAAUUAGGAGACUGCUACAACUUUUAUGGAGAGAAGUUUCAACAGAAUGAUAGAGGAAGCAUUUCAAUACAGGUGAGAGAAUUUGUUGUCUGCCAAAGAAAGGGGACCAGAAAACUGAGGAAGAUGAGUAAUUGAAAUAAACCACGAGAAAUGAAGAAUUAAGGCAAUUAUCUGUAUAAUCCAGAAGGGCUGAAGUGAUGGCUCAGGGUGGAAGGCAGAAAGUAUCUGGAAUUCAGUCUGAAUUUGAAACUUCAGGAAUAAUUAUUGUGCUAGGUAGCAAGAACUUCACAGUCAGAAACCAUUUUUGAAAAAGGAAGAGCAAAAUACAUUUCAAAAUAUAUAGAACUGCAGAAACAAAUGAAGUUUCUCCUUUGUGGUUAGUCAAUUAAGAGAAGUGUGAAGUAAAAAGGAGAAAACAUACAAAUUCUGGAGAUCCAAUGCAUACAAGUAAUGUAAAGAAAA